rnacentral:rRNA from 1 species
UACGUAGGCAGCAAGCGUUGUUCGGAGUUACUGGGCGUAAAGGGUGCGUAGGCGGCUUUUUAAGUUUGGUGUGAAAUCUCCCGGCUCAACUGGGAGGGUGCGCCGAAUACUGAGAGGCUAGAGUGUGGGAGAGGAAAGUGGAAUUCCUGGUGUAGCGGUGAAAUGCGUAGAUAUCAGGAGGAACACCGGUGGUGUAAACGGCUUUCUGGACCAUAAACUUGACGCUGAGGCACGAAAGCGUGGGGUAGCAAAACAGG